ensembl:lncRNA
CUCCAGUCAGACGUUGGCCGCAGUGCCGCUCAGGGAGGCUGGUUACGAGUCGCAGCUUGGGGCCUCUGCUGUUCUUUCUAUUUCAUCCGCGCUGCUUCUUUGAAUCCCAACUUGCACAGGCAAAUGGUUCCAAAAUCUCAGCAACUGAUGGAAGGUUUUGCAAGUGGAGCAGAAGGGCACGUCCCAUGCUCUUCUUGGUCAGUCUUCAGAGCUGAUUUGAUGCUCCUAGGAUAUCUUAACCCAUGGAGACUCCAGCUGGGCGUCCUCAAAAAGAAAGUUGGAGCCUAUACCUGGCAACACACACGCAUAGUCCCCUGCUAAUAAAUACUUUUAUACUUUGG